rnacentral:lncRNA from 1 species
AUAAACCGAGAAGGCUGAUUUUUAGAUGUUGUGUAGGGAGGGGGGGGGGGGGACUUAGAAAAGCUGAACUUGCAAUUGUCGACCAAGAUUUCAUAUGAGUUUUCUCUGCCAUCUUGUCCUUUUGCGAUAACUCGAGUCACCGUCGUGAUACGAAAACUGCGAUUUUAUACUUUAUUGUUAAUUUUUUUACGCUCUACAAUUUAGAUCAUAUGAAUUUUUCACCUACCGUUGAUCGUUGUUGAGAUAUCGACCGAUACAGGCAAGCUUUUCUAAUCCCCCUCCCCUGCACAGUAUUUAAAAAUCAGCUUUUUCGGUUCAUUCGCGUUUUUUUUGCCUUUUUUUCGAACAUAACGACUGCACAACGUUGAGUGCUGAGACCCUUGUUCAAGCGGACAUCUUAACAUGUUGCCAAAAGACCCAGAUGUGUGAAUAGUUGGGAGUCUUUUACCCCGAUUCUCGACCUGUUUAUCGGCGCUCCGCCUUGGCCUCCGUUCCUUCUCGUUAUUGCGCAAGACGUCGAGACUCGCGGAGGUUUCUUACAUUCCUUGUUCUGUCUUGCGGCAUUAAAGUACCUACAUGUGGAGUAUAAUACACUGGCGGGUAACAGUAAAUCUCAUUGUCAGAGUCAGCCAACGAGUGUAAACUAUGUUACGUCAUCUUGCUUCGAGGCGGUGCGCGGUGGUUCUUUAUACCUGAGGAGAAAUACUUUCAGAAGCUCGGAUCGAGACGUCUGCGUAGUUGCCGUAAUGACCAGUUUCACGACUCGACUCGUCAUUCAUCGUUAUACGUUGGUAGCGUGAACAUAAAUAUUUCUUAUCAUCUGAUUCAUACAGAAUAUUACCAGAAGACUAAGUGCCAUUCAACUUUAUAACACAGGUCUGCAAUAAAAUAUUUUAUUUCAGCUUCAUGGGAUGUUUUUGGUAAAUACCCAUCAUGUUUUCGAGUCGGCUGAACCCAAUAAUGACUACUAUUUUCCUCCGUCACGUACAGUAUGUGCGAAAAGUACAAGGUGUUUGCAUAAAAAAAAGCAUGCCAAUAAUGAAAAAAACCACCAUUUCAUUACAAUGAACCAAACAAUAUUUUGCACUAAAUUAAACCAAAAAUUUCUCUGUAUUUAUUCUUGGCUCUCACUCUAUUACUCUAUUAUAAGUAACAGUAUAAAAAACCUGUGCAGUUUGUUGGUUGCAGAUUUGUGUAAUCCAAUAAAUUACACCGGUUAA